AAGUCUUUCACAUAUUUUCACCUAAUGUUUCUUUUAAGGUUGUUGGUUAUCUGGAAGAGCUUGUUCUGUAAAAGGCUUGUCAUGCUUUCCCUGCUGUGCUGGAUUCAGAGUGGGUGGAAACUUCAGUGCACCCUCUGAAUCCAUGAAGGAGACAGCAGCUAAGAGAUGUUUGCAUUGGCUAGAAUCACUUUGAGGUAUAGAGGUAAAAGUUUGGACGUCCGACUCACGCAUCGAGAGUGAAGCCAAUUGCUUUCUCGGACUUCUGACCACAGAUGGCUGUGGUGUCGGCAGGGAUGGAGCUUAUCCUCAGUUGGCACUGUGCUGAGUGGGACUGAUAGUCUGGGAGGGAGUGAUGUCUGAGCCAUGAUGAAAGGCGUGAUCAGUGCGCUCACUAAAUAUGACACCGAUGAGGCACCAGCACGUCGUCACAAACAGUCUCCAGACCAGCCUCCACAGUUGCAUCUGGUUAAUAAUAAAGCUCUCCUCGCCCGUGCGGCGCUCGUAUGGGUUUGAGUUGCGCCGCGGCCAGCCCAUGGCGCUGGAUUGAUUGGCUGUGGCUGUGAAGGAAUCAUAUAGUGGUGGUGUGUGUUUUCUCCCUCCUCUGGCUUCAGUGCACUUGACAGGCAGCCAUCAGAGAGAGUGUUUUACAGAUCCCACAGAGCCUGCUGACUAACUGCACAUGACCUCCAGCAUUGAAUGAUGAAUGGCAAAAGAAGCCCCUCUCAUCCAUCGCAGCCUCACCCUCUCCACCGCCCGCACGCUCUCUGUCUGAAAUGCUGAAAAAAGACUCCACUACACUUUUAGCAAAAAGGGCUCUAUAUAGUACCAAUAAAAAAAGCUUCUAUGUAGUUUAACAAUAGUGGCAAUAGUGGAACCCUUUCUAGUGCUGUAUAAAGGUAGUGUUAUGUUCUUGAAAGCAGUACAUCAAUGUCACUGUCCUAAAAAAGUGACUCCAUGUUUGUAUGAAAAUUUCUUGAUG